rnacentral:rRNA from 1 species
GGGAUGAGCUCAAAUUUAAAAUCUGGCGGCCUCAGGUCGUCCGAGUUGUAGUCUAGAGAAUCGUUUUCCGCGUUGGCCUGUGUACAAGUCCCUUGGAACAGGGCGUCAUAGAGGGUGAGAAUCCCGUCCUUGACACAGAUUACCAAUGCUUUGUGAUGCGAUCUCGAAGAGUCGAGUUGUUUGGGAAUGCAGCUCAAAAUGGGUGGUAAAUUCCAUCUAAAGCUAAAUAUUGGCGAGAGACCGAUAGCGAACAAGUACCGUGAGGGAAAGAUGAAAAGCACUUUGGAAAGAGAGUUAAACAGUACGUGAAAUUGUUAAAAGGGAAACGAUUGAAGUCAGUCAUGCUUUCCGAGACUCAGCCGAUUCUGUCGGUGUACUUCUCGGUUGGCAGGCCAGCAUCAGUUUCGAUCUGUGGAAAAGGUUGGAGGGAACGUGGCAUCCUCGGAUGUGUUAUAGCCCUUCUUCGAAUACAUAGAGCGGGACUGAGGAACGCAGCGCGCCUUUAUUAGGUUGGCCCUCGGGUACAUACGCGCUUAGGAUGCUGGCAUAAUGGCUUUAAACGACCCGUCUUGAAACACGGACC